rnacentral:rRNA from 1 species
AACGAACGCUGGCGGCGCGCCUAAUACAUGCAAGUCGAGCGAGAAGACGUAGCAAUACGUUUGUAAAGCGGCGAACGGGUGAGGAAUACAUGGGUAACCUACCCUUGAGUGGGGAAUAACUAGCCGAAAGGUUAGCUAAUACCGCGUACGCUCCUUGGACUUCGGUUCAGGGAGGAAAGCGAUACCGUGGGUAUCACGCUCUUGGAUGGGCUCAUGUCCUAUCAGCUUGUUGGUGAGGAACGGCUCACCAAGGCUUCGACGGGUAGCUGGUCUGAGAGGACGAUCAGCCACACUGGCACUGCGACACGGGCCAGACUCCUACGGGAGGCAGCAGUGGGGAAUCUUGCGCAAUGGGCGAAAGCCUGACGCAGCGACGCCGCGUGAGGGAUGACGGCCU